rnacentral:rRNA from 1 species
GACAGAGGAUGCAAGCGUUAUCCGGAAUGAUUGGGCGUAAAGCGUCUGUAGGUGGCUUUUAAGUCCGCCGUCAAAUCCCAGGGACUCAACCCUGGACAGGCGGUGGAAACUACCAACGCUGGAGUACGGUAGGGGCUAGAGGGAAUUUCCGGUGGAGCGGGUAGAAAUGCGUAGAGAUCGGAAAGAACACCAACGGCGAAAGGCACUCUCGCUGGGCCGACACUGACACUGAGAGACGAAAGCUAGGGGAGCGAAAUGGGAUUGAGAACCGUACCGAGUCAGUCCAAGACCAUCU